UAAAUGGUGUUUAUGUACCAAUAGAUUGUUUCAUUUUUAUAUUUUAGGUCCAGAGGGAAGAGAUUUUAAGAAUGGUAAAUUCAUGUACGUUUUUGGCCACCCUGAACAGAUUCUGAAAAAAGAAAUUUGUAAUGUUUUUAAGCAGAAAAGUUGGGAAAAUGUUUCACACAUUGUAGUAGAUGAGGCUCAUUGUGUUGUUCAAUGGGGACAUGAUUUUCGUCCCGAUUUCAGACAUAUUUCGAAACUGCGUGCAAUACUACCACAAGCUAAAAUACUAGCAUUAACUGCAACAGCUACACCAAAAAUGAAGAGAGAAAUUCAACAACAGCUUUGUAUGAAAGAUGUGUUUACACUAUCAGGCCCAGUUGAUAGACCCAACAUUAAAAUUAUAGUUAAAAAACGUCUACCACUUACUGGAGGAAAGACAACAGCAGAGGGUUCAUUCCAGGAUGUACUUAAUCCUUAUAUUGAGGAACUUUGUAGUGAAAUUGGGAAUGUUCCAAAAACUAUAAUAUAUUCAAAGCUCAAAUGGUGUGGUAUAGGCUAUGACAUGGUAUCACAGGCAGCCCGUCUUGUAAAUAAUACUCAAGAGAUACUUUCAGCAGUGUCACAGUUCCAUGCACCUUGCACAGAUGAGAUGAAAAAAAAUAUAGCACAGAACAUGGCAGAUACAAAUGGAUCCAUAAAGUUGCUUUUUGCAACUCAAGCCUAUGGUAUGGGAACUGAUGCCCCAGAUGUUGAAAGGGUUUGUCACAUUGGACCACCAAGUUCAUUAGAAUGCAAGUAUUAUGGCUAUAUUACAUAUUAUACUAUGGGUUAUAGAAACAGAAAUACUUCAUUAUUCCAGUUAUGGACCCUUGUGGGUUUUAAAUUUCAUACAAUGAUAACAAUAAUUUUUGUUAUAAUUAAGGAAUGACUGUAAUAUUUUUUUUCUGUCUAUGAAGAAAUAACAUCAAAAAUGUGGUGCACACUGAAUAACCCGUGUAGCAGGUUAUUUUAAAGUGUGCACCACUUUUUUUAUGUUAUUUCGAAUAGACAGAAAAUAUAUUACAGUCAUUUCUUAUAAUUUAAUUCUUAAUUCCAUUUUAAACCGGAGUAAAUCAUGAAAAAACGUUGAUGACGUCAAGGUCACAUGACAAAAUUAUGUCUAUAAACUGAUAAACAAAACAAUGUCAGCCAAUCGGAAGACGUGUUACAUCCAAAAUUAAAUUAUAUGACAAUGAAAUAAUAAUAAAAUAAAAUACAGCAUAAAAAUCACUGAAUACAUAGAAGAGAAAGUUAAUAUGGGAGACAAUCAAUAAAUAUGUAAGGAUUAUUCCCCUUUAAACAGUAUCUAAUAAUUUUUAAAGAUAUGGUGUUCAGCGUUGGAUAAAAAAAGAAGCCCCAACUGAUUAAAUAUAAGGGUAGUUUUCUCCCAUGUACACACAG